GACGAACGCUGGCGGCGUGCUUAACACAUGCAAGUCGAACGAUGAUGCCAGCUUGCUGGUGGAUUAGUGGCGAACGGGUGAGUAACACGUGAGCAACCUGCCCCUGACUUCGGGAUAACCGCGGGAAACCGUGGCUAAUACCGGAUAUGACGCGCUAUCGCAUGGUGGUGUGUGGAAAGAUUUAUCGGUUGGGGAUGGGCUCGCGGCCUAUCAGCUUGUUGGUGGGGUGAUGGCCUACCAAGGCGACGACGGGUAGCCGGCCUGAGAGGGUGACCGGCCACACUGGGACUGAGACACGGCCCAGACUCCUACGGGAGGCAGCAGUGGGGAAUAUUGCACAAUGGGCGCAAGCCUGAUGCAGCGACGCCGCGUGAGGGAUGACGGCCUUCGGGUUGUAAACCGCUUUCAGUAGAGAAGAAGGCCUUCGGGUUGACGGUACCUGCAGAAGAAGCGCCGGCUAACUACGUG
rnacentral:rRNA from 1 species